rnacentral:tRNA from 1 species
UGCGGGAUCGUCUAGUGGUAGGACACGGCUCUCUGAAAGCCGGUACCUAGGUUCGAAUCCUAGUCCCGCAG